GAAUUUUGGACAAUGGGGGCAACCCUGAUCCAGCCAUGCCGCGUGCGGGAAGAAGGCCUUCGGGUUGUAAACCGCUUUUGUCCGGAAAGAAAAGGCGCCACCUAAUACGGGGCGUUCUUGACGGUACCGGAAGCAUACGCACCGGCUACCUACGUCCCAGCAGCCGCGGUAAUACGUAGGGUGCGAGCGUUAAUCGGAAUUACUGGGCGUAAAGCGUGCGCAGGCGGUCCGCAAAGUCUGAUGUGAAAGCCCCGGGCUCAACCUGGGAACUGCAUUGGAAACUAACGGGCUCGAGUGUGGCAGAGGGGGGUGGAAUUCCACGUGUAGCAGUGAAAUGCGUAGAGAUGUGGAGGAACACCGAUGGCGAAGGCAGCCCCCUGGGCUAACACUGACGCUCAGGCACGAAAGCGUGGGGAGCAAACAGG
rnacentral:rRNA from 1 species